rnacentral:rRNA from 1 species
CAGCAGCCGCGGGAAUACGAGGGGGGCAAGCGUUGUUCGGAAUUAUUGGGCGUAAAGGGUGCGUAGGCGGCUUGACAAGUCUUGUGUGAAAUCUAUGGGCUCAACCCAUAGUCUGCACGGGAAACUGUCGGGCUUGAGUAUGGGAGAGGUGAGUGGAAUUUCCGGUGUAGCGGUGAAAUGCGUAGAUAUCGGAAGGAACACCUGUGGCGAAAGCACUCUGCUGGGCCGACACUGACACUGAGAGACGAAAGUUAGGGGAGCAAAUGGGAUUAGAGACCCGGGUAGUCCCUGUCUCUUAUAC